AUUGAACGCUGGCGGCAGGCCUAACACAUGCAAGUCGAACGAGUGGCGGACGGGUGAGUAAUGUCUUGGAAACUGCAUGAUGGAGGGGGAUAACUGCUGGAAACGGUCGCUAAUACUGCAUACCAUGCUUUGUGCCCUGAUUGGAUUAGCUAGUCGGUGGGGUAACGGCUCACCUAGACGACGAUCCCUAGCUGGUCUGAUAGGCUGACAUGCCACACUGGAACUGAGACACGGUCCAGACUCCUACGGGAGGCAGCAGUAGGGAAUAUUGGGCAAUGGGCGCAAGCCUGAUCCAGCCAUGCCGCGUGUAUGAAGAAGGCCUUCGGGUUGUAAAGUACUUUCAGCGGGGAGGCGUUACCCGAAGAAGAAGCACCGGCUAACUCCGUGCCAGCAGCCGCGGUAAUAC
rnacentral:rRNA from 1 species